AGCAGCCGCGGUAAUUCCAGCUCCAAUAGCGUAUAUUAAAGUUGUUGCAGUUAAAAAGCUCGUAGUUGAAUUUCGGGAUCAAUACGUCGGUCGUGCUUUCGGGUACGUACUGGCGUCAUUGGUUUCUCCUUUCUGACGAACCAUGAUGUCAUUAAUUUGGUGUUAUGGGGAGUUAGGACUGUUACUUUGAAAAAAUUGGAGUGUUUAAAGCAGGCAUUAGCUUGAAUACAUUAGCAUGGAAUAAUGAAAUAGGACGUUCGAUCCUAUUUUGUUGGUUUCUAGGAUCAACGUAAUGAUUAAUAGGGAUAGUUGGGGGCAUUAGUAUUCAAUUGUCAGAGGUGAAAUUCUUGGAUUUAUUGAAGACUAACUACUGCGAAAGCAUUUGCCAAGGAUGUUUUCAUUAAUCAAGAACGAAAGUUAGGGGAUCGAAGACGAUCAGAUACCGUCGUAGUCUUAACCAUAAACUAUGCCGACUAGGGAUCGGAUGAUGUUAAUUUUUUAAUGACUCAUUCGGCGCCUU
rnacentral:rRNA from 1 species